rnacentral:lncRNA from 1 species
AUGCUUUGGCAUAUUGUUGCCAAAUUGCCAUAAAUUAAUUUAAAUUGGUUAGGUGGGCAAUCAACUUCUUUGUGCUCAAAAACAGUUGUUAUCAUCAAAAACUAAAGAAGAAAUGAAGAGUACAAGAAGAUAAGAGACAAUGGCUGCCCAUUGGAAACAGAUGUAUCCAAGUAUGUAACUCUCCAUCUAUCCCCUAUUCAUAUCAUUCUUAUGUCGUGUCUGAUAAUAUAAUUUGCAGAUUCGAGGUGAAAAUAUCUAAAAUGUUAAAAAAAAUCGCUCUGUUCAAGGACGGAUUAGUUUGGAGUCUCGGGUUCUGGAAAAUCUUUUUCCUUUUUUUUUUUUUUUUUUUUUUUUUUUUGGAGUAUCAAUGAAGGAGAUUCGAACUUGGAUCAUGUGUCAGGUCAUAUAUGUAUUUACCACUAGGCUAUGUCUUGGUGUGUGUUUUGGAAAAUCUUGCUAUCUCUAUACAAUGGAU